CUUUGCACCCAGAGGUUACAGUAAGUCUGGAUGACACAAAGAACAGUUUGUGGUGCCUCUAGAGUUCCUUAUGGAAGACUUCUAUUUCAGAGAUCUGAAAAAAGCCUUGGUCUGAGGGGAAGAAGGAACCGCAAAUGCUGCCCAGCUAUAGCCAUGUAACAAUCUGACAUCCCUGGACAUUCUUCUGCUGGGUUGCUGUGCGUGUUCCUGGACAUAAUUGUGGAAACAAAAUCAGUGAGAGACCACAGAGAAGACAGAGAAGGACCCUGUUGUUAUGGAGCUUACAGUCAGAGAGAGAAGUGUUGUCAUCAUCAUCUCAGACAGUCCUCAAAAGUCUUUCAAGGGCAGAUGCAGAAUUAUGUCUGGAUGACUACCUGAGUUUUUCUCCAGCUUUAGGUAUUUACAGUGAGUAUAACCUGCAUCAUAUGGGUAUACAGUGCUGAAGAAAUCAGAAGAACUAAUAAUAUAACUUAGCAGAGUGGAGGAAAGUUUUCUUCCUCCCAGACAGCUGGCUUAGUGGUAAGAUAAACUUCCCUGGCUGGACUCUGCUCCCCACAAGGCUGCUGUGGCUGAGAGAUACUGGGACAUCUGACAAGCGGGAACCCUGCCGUAAAAACCCGUGGAGCAUGGCUGAAUAUGCGCAAUAAAAAUGCCCGUGCUCCAAAAUGACCGCUAUACAACCUUCCGCGUGUGGCGCUGCAUGGGAAGGGAAAGAAGAAAAAUAGCUCUCAGGACGCAUGUGCGAUGGCUUCAGGAGCCCAGCGUGCAGGAAUGCAAGUCGAGGUAAACGGAUGAGGUAAUCAUCACGCCUGGACUUUAUUAUCAAUGAAUACUCUGCACCUAGUGAAAAAAACCUCAUACCUAUUGGAAGGUUCAGAUGAAAUAAAAAAGGAAAUCAGAAAAUCCCACAGGGUGCUCCUCACGCCUGAGGACACUCAUUCAUCUCCCGAGUUCGUAUUUUUGCUUCUUAAGAAAUCACUUCUUUGUUUCUCUUUGCGCUUCAGUUUCUGUGUAUUUUCCUUUGAGUUCUCUGUCCAGAAUUCUUUUUGGACAGGUAGAACAAGAACCUGUACCUUUAAUAAAGCCAUCGGGCAUCAGGAUGAAUAAAACAGACACUGAUGGGAUUGCCAUAAAGGUUUUAACAACUCAUGUGUAGACAAUCAAACUGCUGCUAUAGUCAAUCAGAAAGAUCACUACACAUGUUUAAACUGCAAAUCUGAAAAAAAAAAUCAGAUUCUUACUACCUGCCCCCACUCCAUCUUAAGAUGCUUUAAGUCGGACAUCUAGAAUUGUCAACUGUUUGUGCUUGCCUUCAGAAUUCAGAAACUGGGUCUAGCCUACUCCAAUCACUAACCAUUAUUUUUUUUCCUUCCAUAUAAAAUGUCUCUUAUUUAAUGUCCUAUUGUUGCACCACAGGCCUAACUUUGGGAAUUCGCCUAUAUCACUGCUUCCUGAAAUAAGAUGCAAUGGUUUAGGUGAGAUAACCUAUUCUUAGACUAAUGAGAUGGAGCAAUCUACCAACUCAGCUUCUGAACUGUGAUACUUCUUGGGCAAGUUCCAAAGCAAGGAAUCCUUGGAGUCCAGAACAGACCUCCCCAAGAUGUGCCACUUUAGCUUGUGGAUUAUUUUGAGCAGUAGAGACCCUGCAGGCUCAAUAGAAACUACUUCCCAUCCCUUAAGUACCUAAAAGGAUUUAAACUAUUUUUUGUUUUUUUCCCAGAAAAAAAAGCUAUUACCAGAAUUUUAUCCAAGCAUUACCAUCCAUAUGGAAGGAAACAUCUAAUUAACCAAUAUCUGCUCUUUUUAAAAAAUUGUUCUGUGAAUUUCCCUCCUGUGCUAUCCUUGAGAGCCUCAGGUCCCUAUCCCAUUUCUUUCUUUCUUUCUUUUUUUUUUUUAAAUCUUUUUAGGGCC